UAGAGUUUGAUCCUGGCUCAGGAUGAACGCUGGCGGCGUGCCUAACACAUGCAAGUCGAACGUGAGGGUGUGUGCAUUUCGGUGUGUGCACCUGAAAGUGGCGGACGGGUGAGUAACACCUACGUGACCUGCCCUGGAGCGGGGGAUAACUACUGGAAACGGUGGCUAAUACCCCAUGGUCCUGUUGUCGUUGGAGGGUGACAGGUAAAGUUGAGGCGCUCUGGGAGGGGCCUGCGGUCGAUUAGCUAGUUGGUGGGGUAAAGGCAUACCAAGGCGAUGAUCGGUAGCUGGUCUGAGAGGACGAUCAGUCACACUGGAACUGAGACACGGUCCAGACUCCUACGGGGGGCAGCAGUGAGGAAUAUUGCGCAAUGGGGGGAACCCUGACGCGCAACGCCGCGUGGAGGAUGAAGGCUUUCGGGCUGUAAACUCCUUUUCUGGGGGAAGAGGGAGGACGGUACUCCAGGAAUCAGUCACGGCUAACUACGUGCCAGCAGCCGCGGUAAA
rnacentral:rRNA from 1 species